CACAUACUCAAUUGUAUCACCUAAGAUUGAAGCCUUAUCCAUCUGCAGAUAUCAGAAAAUUUAGAUUGCAGAUCUAGAGUUCGUUCUUUCCAUGAAGUCUAUAACAUGAACUAUUAAGAUUUGCAGAUCCAGAGUUCGUUCUUUCCAUGAAAUGUGCAAUAUGAACUAUUAAGAUGAGAUCUACUCUGAAAGUUAGUGGUUGAAAGUUCUGUGCUAACCUUUUCUGUGGUGCCAAGUUCAAGGACACCAUCCAUGAGUGGAAUGCACACCACUGUCUGCAAAGCAGCAAAACCAUAAGGUAAGAACAUCAGAUAGUAUUACAACAAAAAUCAAGAUUGUCGCUUGAUUUCAUUAAGCUUUUGAAGGAAAAACUGCUGUUGAUGGGGAAAAAGGACAAACCUGAAUGCGAGCACUCUGCUGGGAGCAUUGGCAUUGUUAUGCAUCAUGCAGAAUAUUUAGGAAAAUAUAAGAAAAAUGAAAGACAGUGAGUCGGUAAAAUGUAUAAAGAUAGCCAAAAACAAAAGGAAGAUAUCAUAUAAUUUAUCAUGCCCAACAGAAUUGAAAACAGGUACUCAAGAUUGUAGCAUUUCAUCUGGAGCAAAUACAACUCUAUCUUUAUGAAGCAAAACUAGGUAGAUGUGUAAGUAAACACCUUUGCA